rnacentral:rRNA from 1 species
AGGGUUUGAUCCUGGCUCAGGAUGAACGCUAGCGGCAGGCUUAACACAUGCAAGUCGAGGGGCAGCGGGAGUAGCAAUACUUGCCGGCGACCGGCGCAAGGGUGCGUAACGCGUGAGCAACAUGCCCGUAUCAGGGGGAUAAUCCAGGGAAACUUGGUCUAAUACCGCAUAAUAAUCAUUUGGGGCAUCUUGGAUGAUUUAAAAUUUCGAUGGAUACGGAUUGGCUCGCGUGACAUUAGCUGGAUGGUAGGGUAACGGCCUACCAUGGCUACGAUGUCUAGGGGUUCUGAGAGGAAGGUCCCCCACACUGGAACUGAGACACGGUCCAGACUCCUACGGGAGGCAGCAGUGAGGAAUAUUGGACAAUGGAUGGAAAUCUGAUCCAGCCAUGCCGCGUGCAGGAAGACGGCCCUAUGGGUUGUAAACUGCUUUUGUAUGGGAGCAAUAAGGGCUACGUGUAGCCUGAUGAGAGUACCAUACGAAUAAGGACCGGCUAACUCCGUGCCAGCAGCCGCGGUAAUACGGAGGGUCCGAGCGUUAUCCGGAUUUAUUGGGUUUAAAGGGUGCGUAGGCGGUUUUAUAAGUCAGCGGUGAAAUUUUCCGGCUCAACCGGGAUACUGCCGUUGAUACUGUAAGGCUAGGAUAUGGUUGCUGUGGGUGGAAUGUGUGGUGUAGCGGUGAAAUGCUUAGAGAUCACACAGAAUAUCGAUUGCGAAGGCAGCUCACAAAGCCAUUAUUGACGCUGAGGCACGAAAGUGUGGGGAUCAAACAGGAUUAGAUACCCUGGUAGUCCACACUGUAAACGAUGAUAACUCGCUGUCGGCGAUAUAAAGUCGGUGGCCAAGCGAAAGCGAUAAGUUAUCCACCUGGGGAGUACGACCGCAAGGUUGAAACUCAAAGGAAUUGACGGGGGCCCGCACAAGCGGAGGAACAUGUGGUUUAAUUCGAUGAUACGCGAGGAACCUUACCCGGGCUCGAACGGUGCAGGAAUACUACAGAGAUGUGGUAGCUAGCAAUAGUCUGUAUCGAGGUGCUGCAUGGUUGUCGUCAGCUCGUGCCGUGAGGUGUCGGCUUAAGUGCCAUAACGAGCGCAACCCUUGUCGUUAGUUGCCAUCAGGUCAAGCUGGGAACUCUAACGAGACUGCCACCGUAAGGUGUGAGGAAGGGGGGGAUGACGUCAAAUCAGCACGGCCCUUACGUCCGGGGCGACACACGUGUUACAAUGGCAGGUACAGAGGGGAGCUACCCAGCGAUGGGGUGCGAAUCUCAAAAGCCUGUCUCAGUUCGGAUUGGAGUCUGCAACUCGACUCCAUGAAGUUGGAUUCGCUAGUAAUCGCGCAUCAGCCAUGGCGCGGUGAAUACGUUCCCGGGCCUUGUACACACCGCCCGUCAAGCCAUGGAAGCCGGGGGUGCCUGAAGUUCGUAACCGCAAGGAUCGACCUAGGGUAAAACUGGUGACUGGGGCUAAGUCGUAACAAGGUAACC